rnacentral:lncRNA from 1 species
GUAGAUAAUCAACAAGGCCCUCUCACUACAUCGGGAAUACCAACGGCCUCCUCAGACUCUUCAUCAUAUUCCUCCCGUAGACCCAAAUACUCGACUUGCAUCUCUGAUUCCUCAUCUACCGCCCAUGACUCUGGAAGCUUUCAAGCAACUCAAGUAGCAGAUUGCCGCCAUCACACAAAUCCUCACCCAACAAGUGGUCCCUCCUAUUUCGAUGGUCAUAAAUUGGAAUGUUGGGCUCCUAACAAUAUAUGCA